CCCUUAGAUGUUCUGGGCCGCACGCGUGCUACACUGAGUGGAUCAGCGGGUCAGGUUGCGCGAAAGCGUUUCCUAAUCUUUAAAUCCGCUCGUGAUGGGGAUUGACGGUUGCAAUUUUCUGUCAUGAACGAGGAAUACCUUGUAAGCGCGGGUCAUCAUCCCGCGCGGAAUACGUCCCUGCCCUUUGUACACACCGCCCGUCGCUCCUACCGAUUGAGUGGUCCGGUGAGGCUUUGGGAUCUGAGCGGAAAGAGCGUUUCGCUGUUUCUGCUCGGAAAACUCAGUCGAACCUUAUCAUUUAGAGGAAGGAGAAGUCGUAACA
rnacentral:rRNA from 1 species